CCUACGGGAUGCAGCAGUGAGGAAUAUUGGUCAAUGGGCGGAAGCCUGAACCAGCCAAGUAGCGUGCGGGAUGAAGGCCCUACGGGUCGUAAACCGCUUUUGCACGGGGAUAACACCCUCCACUUGUGGAGGUCUGCAGGUACCGUGCGAAUAAGGGCCGGCUAAUUACGUGCCAGCAGCCGCGGUCAUACGGAAGGCCCGAGCGUUAUCCGGAUUCAUUGGGCUUAAAGGGCGCGUAGGCGGGCGUUCAAGUCAGCUGUAAAAUCGCGCGGCUCAACCGCGCCCCGCAGUUGAAACUGGACGCAUUGAGUUCACAACAGGCAGGCGGAAUUCGUGGUGUAGCGGUGAAAUGCAGAGAUAUCACGAGGAACCCCGAUUGCGAAGGCAGCCUGCCGGGGUGCGACUGACGCUGAGGCUCGAAGGUGCGGGUAUCAAACAGGAUUAGAUACCCUAGUAGUC
rnacentral:rRNA from 1 species